rnacentral:rRNA from 1 species
UGGGGAAUCUUGCGCAAUGGUCUAACGACUGACGCAGCGACGCCGCGUGUGGGAGGACGCUCUUCGGGGUGUAAACCACUGUUGCCCGGGACGAACGAGCAGUUUCGACUGCUGUGACGGUACCGGGUGAGGAAGCACCGGCUAACUCUGUGCCAGCAGCCGCGGUAAUACAGAGGGUGCGAACGUUGUCCGGAAUCACUGGGCGUAAAGGGCGCGUAGGCGGCCCGGUCAGCGUGCGGUGAAAGCCCGGGGCUCAACCCCGGGUCGGCCGUGCGAACUGCUGGGCUGGAGCACUGUAGAGGCAGGUGGAAUUCCGGGUGUAGCGGUGGAAUGCGUAGAGAUCCGGAAGAACACCGGUGGCGAAGACGGCCUGCUGGGCAGUGCCUGCAAGGGCAAUAGCUGACGCUGAGGCGCGACAGCGUGGGGAGCAAACAGGAUUAGAUACCCUGGUAGUCCACGCCGUAAACGAUGGGCACUAGAUGCUUGGGGGAGCGACCCUCCGAGUGUCGGC